rnacentral:rRNA from 1 species
AGUCGAGCGAACAGAUAAGGAGCUUGCUCCUUUGACGUUAGCGGCGGACGGGUGAGUAACACGUGGGUAACCUACCUAUAAGACUGGGAUAACUUCGGGAAACCGGAGCUAAUACCGGAUAACAUUUGGAACCGCAUGGUUCUAAAGUGAAAGAUGGUUUUGCUAUCACUUAUAGAUGGACCCGCGCCGUAUUAGCUAGUUGGUAAGGUAACGGCUUACCAAGGCGACGAUACGUAGCCGACCUGAGAGGGUGAUCGGCCACACUGGAACUGAGACACGGUCCAGACUCCUACGGGAGGCAGCAGUAGGGAAUCUUCCGCAAUGGGCGAAAGCCUGACGGAGCAACGCCGCGUGAGUGAUGAAGGGUUUCGGCUCGUAAAACUCUGUUAUUAGGGAAGAACAAACGUGUAAGUAACUGUGCACGUCUUGACGGUACCUAAUCAGAAAGCCACGGCUAACUACGUGCCAGCAGCCGCGGUAAUACGUAGGUGGCAAGCGUUAUCCGGAAUUAUUGGGCGUAAAGCGCGCGUAGGCGGUUUCUUAAGUCUGAUGUGAAAGCCCACGGCUCAACCGUGGAGGGUCAUUGGAAACUGGGAAACUUGAGUGCAGAAGAGGAAAGUGGAAUUCCAUGUGUAGCGGUGAAAUGCGCAGAGAUAUGGAGGAACACCAGUGGCGAAGGCGACUUUCUGGUCUGUAACUGACGCUGAUGUGCGAAAGCGUGGGGAUCAAACAGGAUUAGAUACCCUGGUAGUCCACGCCGUAAACGAUGAGUGCUAAGUGUUAAGGGGGUUUCCGCCCCUUAGUGCUGCAGCUAACGCAUUAAGCACUCCGCCUGGGGGAGUACGACCGCAAGGUUGAAACUCAAAGGAAUUGACGGGGACCCGCACAAGCGGUGGAGCAUGGGGUUUAAUUCGAAGCAACGCGAAGAACCUUACCAAAUCUUGACAUCCUUUGAAAACUCUAGAGAUAGAGCCUUCCCCUUCGGGGGACAAAGUGACAGGUGGUGCAUGGUUGUCGUCAGCUCGUGUCCUGAGAUGUUGGGUUAAGUCCCGCAACGAGCGCAACCCUUAAGCUUAGUUGCCAUCAUUAAGUUGGGCACUCUAGGUUGACUGCCGGUGACAACCCGGAGGAAGGUGGGGAUGACGUCAAAUCAUCAUGCCCCUUAGGAUUUGGGCUACACACGUGCUACAAUGGAAAAUUCAAAGGGGAGCUAAACCGCGAGGUCAUGCAAAUCCC